rnacentral:rRNA from 1 species
GUCUCAGCAGCCGCGGUAAUACGGAGGGUGCAAGCGUUAAUCGGAAUUACUGGGCGUAAAGCGUGCGUAGGUGGUUUGUUAAGUUAGAUGUGAAAGCCCUGGGCUCAACCUAGGAACUGCAUUUAAAACUGGCGAACUAGAGUAUAGGAGAGGAAAGUGGAAUUUCAGGUGUAGCGGUGAAAUGCGUAGAUAUCUGAAGGAACAUCAAUGGCGAAGGCAGCUUUCUGGACUAAUACUGACACUGAGGUACGAAAGCGUGGGUAGCAAACAGGAUUAGAUACCCUGGUAGUCCACGCCGUAAACGAUGACAACUAGCCGUUGGGAGGAUUUACCUCUUAGUGGCGAAGCUAACGCGUUAAGUUGUCCGCCUGGGGAGUACGGCCGCAAGGCUAAAACUCAAAGGAAUUGACGGGGACCCGCACAAGCGGUGGAGCAUGUGGUUUAAUUCGAUGCAACGCGAAGAACCUUACCUGGUCUUGACAUACACGGAACUUUCCAGAGAUGGAUUGGUGCCUUCGGGAACCGUGAUACAGGUGCUGCAUGGCUGUCGU